UUACUACUCGUCGUAGAGGUUUCGAGUCCUGGCGUACAGGACGAACGCUGGCUGCGUGCUUAACACAUGCAAGUCGAACGCUCGAAGCCCCAGCUUGCUGGGGUGGAUGAGUGGCGAACGGGUGAGUAACACGUGAGUAACCUGCCCCUGACUUCGGGAUAAGCCCGGGAAACUGGGUCUAAUACCGGAUACGACCGUCGGACGCAUGUCUGGUGGUGGAAAGUUUUUCGGUUGGGGAUGGGCUCGCGGCCUAUCAGUUUGUUGGUGAGGUAAUGGCUCACCAAGACGACGACGGGUAGCCGGCCUGAGAGGGCGACCGGCCACACUGGGACUGAGACACGGCCCAGACUCCUACGGGAGGCAGCAGUGGGGAAUAUUGCACAAUGGGGGAAACCCUGAUGCAGCGACGCAGCGUGCGGGAUGACGGCCUUCGGGUUGUAAACCGCUUUCAGCAGGGAAGAAGCCUCACGGUGACGGUACCUGCAGAAGAAGUACCGGCUAACUACGUGCCAGCAGCCGCGGUAAU
rnacentral:rRNA from 1 species